AGAUGGAAAUCAUGGCCAACUAUUACCUCGAUCAGGGAAUUAAAAGAAUUCAACAAGAUGAACCUGAUUAUCUUGGUUCAAUCGUUGAAAUUGAAAAAUCAAAAACGGUUUUUAACAAUUCAUUAAAAACUUAUGGCAAUGAUACACUGGCCUACUUCGUAUUGGCAAUUGCCGGACAAAAUGCUGAGAAGUAUGACACUGCACUGAAUGCUGCCAGA
rnacentral:misc_RNA from 1 species